rnacentral:tRNA from 1 species
AAGCACGUGGCGCAAUGGUAGCGCAAUAGUCUACGGAACUGGAGGUUGUGGGUUCGAAUCCCGUCGUGCUUG